rfam:Strongylocentrotus purpuratus Contig95245_fixed, whole genome shotgun sequence.
GCCUCCGUGGCCUAAUGGAUAAGGCAUCGGUUUUCUAAACCGGGGAUUGUGGGUUCGAGUCCCACCGGAGGUA